GUGGCGAGCGGCGGGCAGCGGGCGGGUCGGGCUCUGGCCCCGCGGGCGCUGUGCUUGGCGGGGAAACUUAUCUUCCCUUCCUGGGGAGGAAAAAAAAGAGAGAGAAAAUCAAGUCGCAGCCAGCUUGAGCCGGUGUUGCGGGCGGACGUGGGAGACGCUGAGGCUGCGAGGGCUUCCCCAGCUGUUUCCAACUGACCCAAGUGUGAAGUGAGGUGUGAACAGGCAGGCCUCUGACUGAGCCCGAGCCCACUGACUGCCCAGGAGAGAGGCCCUUGAGAACCUGGCCUGCAACAGACUGGCUGGAGGGUCCCCCACUGAUUGAGGCCGUCCUGCCUGAAAGUCAGGAAACACAGGGGCCCUGGUUGUGUAAUAAGAGUACACUUGAAAAAUGCCUUGUCCUUAUCUGAAAACCCAGAUGGAAGAAUACCAGCCCUGAAGUUGCUUUUCUUAAAACUGGAAUGAAAGGUUUCUGAAAUUCUCUACCUAGGAGGAGUUAGGGGAAGACUUUCUGGCUAAGUAGAAGAAGCACACCCACUAAGAGAGAACCCAGUGCAGUGACCAGCACAGCUUGUGGAACCUGACACCCUUGACUCCUGGGAACGUGGAAGGAGUUGCUGCUCUAUGAAUUCCAUAAUUUUCUCAGGGUGUCUGUCUUUUUCUCCUAACUGCCUGCUUCUACUUAGAAAAUUCAAGCCUUCAGAUGCUGUUGCACUUAUCACUUUGCUCAAGCUUCUCCAAAGCUCCCCGCUAUCAAAGGACUUAAACUUCAAGCUUCCUUCUUUCCUUGUCUACUCUUCCUUCACUGUAGGAUGUCUCCCUCACCCCCUGAAAAUCCCCUCUACACAUCCUGUCAUCUCUGUUAUUAUUUAUAUCUCUGCUAUUAUUUAUAUCCUGAUUCUGCCCUGAGUGACCCUAAAAAUCCAAAGACUCCCAUAUGUAAAAAUAUCCUUCAGAGUUGAGCAAAGAUCAGCUCCUGAAAGAGAAAUUUUGGUGACAAAGGGACUAUUAAAAUGGUCCAUCAGACAAAUUCUUUAAAAAUAUGAAUAUCAAAAUGAUUACAGAAAUGCUGAGGGAUUUUUAUAGAUUCAAGGAGACUAAGGAGAUAUGAUAACUCAAUAGAAUAUCAGAUCCUAGACUAGAUCGUGUACUGGAGAAAUGCUCUAAAGGGUAUUACUGGCUAAACUGACAUCACUGAAAUACAGUAGAUAAAAUUCUAUGUUAUUGUUCAAAUUAACAAAGUUUAUAACUAUCCUGGAGAUAGGAAACAGAAUAUCCUUGCUCUUAGGAAAUAUUCACUGAAAAAUUUAGGGGCAAAGUGUAAUGAUAUAUGCAACUUACUCCCAAACAUUUAGGACAAGAUAUGUAUAUGGGUAGAGAGAGCAAAGGAAACAAAAUGCUAAAACUAGGUGAACCCGGGCCAUAGGAUUAGCAGUGUUCUUGCAACUUUUAUGUAAAUUUGAUUAUUUUUCUAAAUACAAGUUUAAAAAAAAUGGCCAAUGCCUCUGUUUCCCUGAAUUUUAUCUCUCCUUUGAGAUUCUCUGCCUUCAAUCACAUAGCCCCCACACGUAUGCUGUUCCACCUUCAAAACAGUUGUACCAUGCGCUGUCUCAGUGAAGACCAGCAGGAUACACUUAUCACAACUGAGGUCCUAAUGUUUCUGUUUACAGAAUAUAGAAAAAGAACACAAGGGAAAAUGAAAUAAAAAACACACAUAAUGAUGUACAAAAAUAUAAAAUUAAUACAGAAAUGCGAAGAAUUACGUUUAUAACAUGGAGGUUUCAGAAACUGAGAAUCAGAGUGUAGGUUUUGGAAUCAGUCACAGCUGAGUUCUAAUCUUUGCUCUGUCCAUUAACAACCAUGUGAUCUGGAGCAGAACAUUUUGCCUUUUUUCUUCUUUAGUUUCCUUGUCUGGAACCCAGAGACAGAAAUCCUCUGUGUUUGUAGGAAAAAAAAAAAAAAAAAGCUAGCAUAUGAAGAAAAUUCCUGAAAAGAAAAGUUUAAGGAAGGAAAGCUAGACACCAAAUGGUCUCCUACCCCAAGAUUUUAGUGGACUUCAUGGGUAUUCUUUGGAGUCUAAAAAGCUUUGAAGUCUAUAAGAAUUUGUGGUUGCACUGGGGUAGAGAAGAAUAUGGAGGAAAGAGAAGGGCCUUAUUUGCUAAGGCCUUCAUCAGAGUAUGUGCUUUACAUGUGGAUUCAUUUAGUAUUUAGGAUCUUAUGACACUUCCCUAUGUUGCCGAUGGAAAUAGAGAUUGUUAGAAUGCUUUCAUUUUGGCAAUAUCUAUUCAAAUAAAAAAGUGCAUAUGUGCACAAUGAAACUUGCAUAGGCAAGUUUAUAAGCAUAUUUACUACAGUAUUGUUCUUUUUUAAUAUAUAUAUUUUUAUUUUUUAAGUUUGUUUGUUUAUUUAUAGCAGGAGCAG